UGCUAGCUUCAAGUGAGAACAACGGGUUUCCCUUCACUUGGGAGAAGCUAUAAAAGGCCCUGGAAACAUGUCCAUUUUGUUUCUUUCCUGCUCAAAUCUCUGGACUAUGAUGAACUUGUACUAAUGGGAGCAUUCUAACCCAAGGACUGAGGACCUUCCCAUGAUUUGGAAGCAA